rnacentral:rRNA from 1 species
GAUGAACGCUGGCGGCGUGCCUAAUACAUGCAAGUCGAGCGAACGGACGAGAAGCUUGCUUCUCUGAUGUUAGCGGCGGACGGGUGAGUAACACGUGGAUAACCUACCUAUAAGACUGGGAUAACUUCGGGAAACCGUAGCUAAUACCGGAUAAUAUUUUGAACCGCAUGGUUCAAAAGUGAAAGACGGUCUUGCUGUCACUUAUAGAUGGAUCCGCGCUGCAUUAGCUAGUUGGUAAGGUAACGGCUUACCAAGGCAACGAUGCAUAGCCGACCUGAGAGGGUGAUCGGCCACACGGGAACUGAGACACGGUCCAGACUCCUGCGGGAAGCAGCAGUAGGGAAUCUUCCGCAAUGGGCGAGAGCCUGACGGAGCAACGCCGCGUGAGUGAUGAAGGUCUUCGGAUCGUAAAACUCUGUUAUUAGGGAAGAACAUAUGUGUAAGUAACUGUGCACAUCUUGACGGUACCUAAUCAGAAAGCCACGGCUAACUACGUG